rnacentral:rRNA from 1 species
CUACGGGGGGCUGCAGUGAGGAAUAUUGCACAAUGGGGGAAACCCUGAUGCAGCAACGCCGCGUGGAGGAUGACGCAUUUCGGUGUGUAAACUCCUUUUAUGAGUCAAGAAAAUGACGGUAGCUCAUGAAUAAGCACCGGCUAACUCCGUGCCAGCAGCCGCGGUAAUACGGAGGGUGCAAGCGUUACUCGGAAUCACUGGGCGUAAAGGACGCGUAGGCGGGCUUGUAAGUCAGGUGUGAAAUCCUACAGCUUAACUGUAGAACUGCACUUGAAACUACGAGCCUAGAGUAUGGGAGGGGGAGAUGGAAUUAGUGGUGUAGGGGUAAAAUCCGUAGAUAUCACUAGGAAUACCGAAAGCGAAGGCGAUCUCCUGGAACAUUACUGACGCUAAGGCGUGAAAGCGUGGGGAGCAAACAGGAUUAGAUACCCCAGUAGUC